CACGCUCUGAGCCGAAGGCAGAUACUCAACCGCUGAGCCACCCAGGCGUUCUGUAGUCAUGAUGUCGCAGAGAUGGAUGAAGGGUCAGCGCUGCCUUGCUCCAGACAACGGAGCUGAGCGUGGCAGAAAGGUCGGGGGGAGGUAUUUCACCUGGUGAAGACAUCUCCUUAGCGGCUGAUGAUGUCGCCUGUCACUCGAGUUUCAAGAAGGCUGUAACCUACAGGCAAUGCGAUGCUGUGCUUAAAGCAGGACCUUCCCGAGCCCUACAUGUUCUGACUUUUGUAGUCGCCACCACACAAAACAUCAGAUUUGGAACCAACAACUGUUUUUCUACCUGGGUGUCAUGCAUUUUUCUAGAUUCCCAAGAAGCUCUUACCUCUGGGAUUUCAUUGUACUGUCACCCUUGGGCCGAGGCUGCUGCUGCUCCUGUGGACUCUGGGAAAGGGCCUCCUCCACGAAUUCCCACUUGUUCCAUGGCCCACCCCUGACUCCCCAGCUCUCACAGUCUAGCUUAGACACCCUGACGAGGUGGAGGAUGUAAUUACACCUUGAAACACUCUGUGCACUGGUGACCCAGCUCCUUGCAUGUGUGACUCAAGCCCCAAGAGGUUAGGUUUGUUGUUUCUGCGGCGCUGGUCUGAGGUGUCGCGGCUGCCAGUUGCACCUGGUUUGGGCAACAGUGUCCUGGCGGGAGAACGAGAGACAUGAGGCUCGGCAGCUGCAGAAAUGGUGUCAAUGUCACCUGCACCCCGUCCCGUCUGUGGCGGCCCGGCCACCGAGCUCGCUGAGGCGGGGCAGGCCCCUGCCCUCUGGCCUGUCCGCCUGUCCGCGGAUGCUCAGUUUUUGUGACUCGAGAAUCUUGGCAUGGCUUGGCUACGUCCUUAGCUCAGGGGUGUCACGAGGUUGCAGCGAAGGGGUUAGCGGGGCUGCCUUCUCAUGUGGUGGCUUGGCCGGGGAGGGAUGCCCCUCCCGGCUCAUCAGGUUGUCGGCACAGUGGAUUUCCUUGUCGCCGUGGGACUGCGGGCCUUUGCCGCCCUGGCCCUGGCCGUCAGCUCCUAAGGACCACGGUUGCCGACUGCACUAAUCCCACAAGGAGAGUCUCUGCAGCAAGUCUGCCAACAAGAUUAGGAGCUGCUUCUCUAAGUUUCACCUCCUCAUUCAAAGAAGGAAGAAUGACAAAGCGCAAAAGCCACAAAGCAGCCAAGUGUGACUCUUUUUUAGCAGCAAGACCAUAGCCUUCCAGAAACCCACCCGUAUCCUUGUCCCCUGCCUCCCGCUGGCCUUUUCUGAAACACCCGGCUGCUUCCAGUGUGCAGGGCGUUGGAAAAUAUAUGUUUCAUUAACCAGUAUCCGAGGGACCCCCCCCCCAAAUGAGCGGGGUCCGGCACAGAUGUUUCCAGUACGUGGGCACGCGGGUGGAGCUGCCGGUGAGGCUCGCCUGGGAUGGGCCCCCGCUCGAGCGGGGAGAGCCUUUGCACAGUGCCUGAUGCUCGGUCUCUUCUCCCCCCCUCUGCUUCCCCAAGAGCAGCCCCUCCAGAGUUAAGCCCCGUGCCAAGCAGACAAGCCUACAUUUGGGGCCUGCAGGAGGACUGCGGAGGGAGGACUGCGGAGGGAGGACUGCGGAGGGAGGACUGCGAGAGCCCGGCCUGGACGAGGAGCAGCGACUGCAACACCCUCCCUUGCCCCAGGGAGGAGCAGCUUGGAAACUUUUUAUGAGAUUCCAGAAGCAGCAAGGUCAGCAGGUUUAUGGCCAUUCUGCUUCGUUUGUAAAUACAGCCUUUGAAUGAGA